rnacentral:lncRNA from 1 species
AACGGAGGAAAUGGCCAUGCACAGCACACCACACCGCAGUGCACCUACCUAGGGUCGGUCCUCUACCUACCAACCCCCCCACUUUAACGCUAAUCUCCAACAGAAAAAAGGCCAAAGGCGACGGAGGCUGGACUCACUGGACUGGAAGCCACCCGGCCGGCCUCCUCCUCCUCCUCCUCAGUAGCCCUCACUCUCCCACACUGCUCACUGGUUGGUCGACGAUGAUAAAAACCUCCACACGAUAGGAAUCUCAAGCCAUCCUCCUCCUCCUCCUCCUCCCGGCAGUUUCCUCCACGGCUCCACCACCCCGAGCCCAAGCCAACCGAGCAAAGCGCACGCCAAAGCGAGGGGCUUUGCCUCGAAUCCUGGGCGAGCCGAGCCACGAGCCCCACCACCACUGCUUUCGCCUUUCCGUUCAUUCCAAGAACCGGCGUACGUACAUGGAGCCGGCGGCGGCGGACGGGGCCUCGGACGAGCCGGUGCACAAGGGGCGGACCAACUCCAUCCUGCUCCCCAUCCUCGCCGUGCUCCUCGCCUACCUGCUCUACCGCUACCUCCGCCCGCGCCUCCGCGGCCUGCGCCUCGACCGCCUCCCGUUCCGCGUCCCGGACUGCCUCCGCCGCCGCGGCAAUGCCACCCGGACCACCCUGCUGCCCUACUUCGCGCCCAUCGCCGACCGCCUCGGCGCGCUGCAGCCCUACCUCGGCCCCAUCGCCGACCGCCUCGGGGUCGGCGGCCCGCACGGCCACGGCGGCGGGUACGGCGGCGCCGACGCGCUCGUCAGGUUCCCCGGCGGCGAGGGCCUGUCGGUGGCCGCCAUCCUCGAGGCGCCUGGGGAGGUGGUGGCCAAGUCGUCGCACAGCACGCUCUACCGCGCCGCCAUGCGCUCCGGGGAGACGGCCGUGCUGCUCCGGUUCGUGCGGCCCGCGUGCGCCGUGGGCGCCGACGAGGCCGCCGCCGCCGCGCGCCGGAUCGGCGCCGUCAGCCACCCGAACCUCGUGCCGCUCCGCGCCGUGUACGUCGGGCCCAGGGGCGAGAAGCUGCUCGUGCACCCUUCUACGCCGCCGGCUCGCUCCACCGAUUCUUGCAAGGUCAGUGCAUGCGCAUCACUCACUCUUGCUUUGGUCGACAUGUUCAUCCUGAUUCGUACAAAUGCACAAUUUUGCUACGUCAAAAGUGCACAUGAGCCCACACCGCAAAUGAAACUUUUUCUUAAUUCUAUUUGUUGCGACGAGAUCACACAUGAAACAUUAUGCAAUUACAUUUCGUCACAAAGGGAAAAGCAUGGCGUGGUUGCGAAGCGAGUUCGAAGACUCCAAAAAGGCAGAUCAGCAGCUUUCACUAAACAAAAAUCAUUUGGGCCAUCAGUUUCAACUUUCUUUUUCGAUAAUCAGUAUCAACUUUUGAGGCAAUGUGGAAUGUGUUACACAGUUUGGUUAUGGUACAGAGUCCAUUUCUUAUUUCCAGUUCAUGUUCGCUGGUUCUUAUUAUUAUUGCCUACUGCGGCCAGGCAGGAAACAUUUCUCUGCUUUGGUUGUUAGCCUGAGACCUCACAUGACACUGUCCUGAAGCAAUGGUCCUGGCCAUUAAUGUUACAUAAGGUCAUUAGAUCACCCUUCACAAUCGUGAUCAUUGGGGCACACAAUCAGUCCAGUGUGUUGCUCAGUUAAAACAGUGGUUAGUGCUGUAUAGUCGUCUGUCAAACAGUAGUGAACAUAGUCAUUGUUGUGCCUUAAUUGAAGGCACAUGCACACAUGUGCAGUCUUUUCAAGCCAAAACCAUGCAUUCAUAAUAUUGGCAUUUGUUGUGAUGGUAGCUGAUGAUAGUCUGCCUGUGUGCUGCCAUUUUCACAGAGGGGAUCGCCGACUCGCAGAGAUGGAGCCUGAUCUGCAAGCUCUCCGUGUGCAUCGCCAAGGGGCUCGACCACCUGCACACGGGGAUGGAGAAGCCGAUCAUCCACGGCAACCUCAAGACGAGCAACAUCCUCCUCGACGCCAGCUACGAGUGCAGGAUCUCGGACUACGGCCUCUACCUCCUGCUCAACACCGGCGGCGCCCACGAGAUGCUGGAGGCGUCGGCGGCGCAGGGGUACAAGGCGCCGGAGCUGGUCAAGAUGAGGGACGCCACCAGGGAGAGCGACGUGUACAGCCUGGGCGUGGUGCUGCUGGAGAUGCUCGCGCAGAAGGAGCCCGCCGGCGACGACGACCGCGCGCCCAGCUCCCGCGACAUCUUCCUGCCGGCGUCGUUCAAGAACCUGGUGCUCGAGAGGAAGAUCUCCGACGCCUUCAGCUCCGACCUCGUCAGGCAGAGCAGGAAGUCGGGGAACGAGAAGAAGCUGAACGCGUUCUUCGAGCUGGCCACGGCGUGCUGCAGCCCUUCGCCGUCGCUCCGGCCCAACACCAAGGAGAUACUCAGAAGGCUUGAGGAGAUAGCAAAAUAAUUAACUAAAUGUGGGUAGGUUCACCAUUCAGACGUAGCACGAGGCAAGGCUCAAGGAACGACUGAACCUCUGCUGGACGGAAAAUUGGAGAAUGGAGGCACACGGUUCAGAUAUCAUGGAAUGUGUAUAGUCAGAGUGUAAGCGCGGUGGAGGCCAUCGUCUCAAGAAUAUACUCAUUGUACGUAAUUUAUUUUCUUGUGCUUUGCUUGAAACCGACCAUGUACAAAGUGUUGAAAGAGUGGGGACGGCGUAUGCUGCAUGUUCAUGCAUCAAAAUCGCCAUGUCGAUGUAACCUUGGUCUGAUCUGAGUGUUAUAUCAGAUAUGAUUGGUAGGAGCAUUUGCUGUGCAGCUUGUGAUGUUCCCGGUGCAUGUGCGGUUGUUCUACUUGUACGCACUGACAAGGGCCGGCAGGGAGUGAUUCUCUCCAAGGGAAUUAUGCCCAGCGUUGCCUGAUUUCGGUCUCUGCACAGUCAUGCUGUCCUUAACAGUGGCUAGAUUCCGAAAUAGUAAGAAAUUAAGAUUCGGAACUUUUGGUUGUAGCUAGAUUGCUCAGCGGCAUGGCCUCAAAAACAGGUCACCAUCCACCACCUUCUCUUUCGCCGACACCAAAAGCGUAGCGUCCGUAACACACGGGCCUACAGUCUGCUGAUUUAUUUCGUAACCUGCAAAUGAAUCGCCUAUUCACUAUCCCACGUCAACAAAUGAUCAUCCUGUGCUAGCUUAAGCUUACCAAACGAUCUUCGGCUUGACGCCAGAAAAACUUACUGAUCAUCUCGAGUCUCCUUGUCCCUGAAUUAUCGUAAUGAGACGGAACAUGAAAGGCAUGUGUCAUGGCCUCCGCUGGCCGAGUGAUUAUCAGGUGGGUGAGGCCUUGGUUUGUGCCACCGGUUAGCCGCGGCGUCUCUCUCGCAGCGCAGGGAAAGCGGCAGCACGUGAAGCGCCAACGAACCCACCGAGAAAACUUGGAGCAAGCCUCCAAGCCUCCAAGCCGGGACCGCCUCUCGUCGUCCUCCAACUCCGCGGCCCCCUAAUGGUAGAUCUUGUGGGCACGUACAUACGUCCGUAGGCCGUAGCGUAGAUCAAAUGCCCCUGCGCGCGCUCAGGCCGGCCGGCCGGUCCGGUCCGGUGCACGGACGCCUGCGCUCGCCGUGCCGUAUCAUCAAUUUGCUAAUGCACAUGUCCCUUGGUCACAAAUCUUACGAUGUGUACUGUCGACGCGUUUUUACUGCCUCUGGCCCGUUGCCGACGCCGACGCCGAUGCCAUGGCCGUGCGCCGUGGUCCUCGCCCGUCCAUUCGCGGCUACUACAGUUGUGCGCGCCGUCCGUCGUGUAGCGUCUUGUGGGCAUGCGGCGUGCACCGUGUUUAACUUGGUAAGCUAAGCCGCACACGGCGAAGUGUUCGGGUCGGUGGGAGGCGGGUCACCGUACCUACCUAUGCGUCGACAUGUACCCGGUGUACGUACGUGCCGGGCCGCGACGGCGAUGGCUGGGGAGAGGAGAUGGUGGUGGAUUGGUGGUGGCGGUGGUUGCGCGUGGCUGGCGCGGCGGAGUAGGAGUGGUAGGGCGUCGGGGCGGUACCACGCGGAUUGGGUGCGCGUGCACGGCGCCGAGCGCAGGGGGCUGCGUGGCCGGAUGAUAGAUGCGUCGCACGCAGGCGCAGGCAUGUGGGCGUCAUGUGGUAGGGAGUUGGCUGUGGGUGCUACUACUGGGUGAGAUAAGGCUCUGAUAAGAUGUGAUUUGGCUACUGCCGCUCGCGAUUCGCUGCUGCGCUGUCUACUCAUUGCGAGAGUUGGUGCUUGUCACUGAAUGUGAAUGGUACCGUACCGGAGUUAAAUCAAGUGAAAGCAGCAAGUACCACUGCCGGUGCCGGGGUUUAUUUAUGUUGGGUUGCACUGCGGCGCUGCAAUCAUCGCUCUUCCGUGCGGCUUCAUUCGUUCCUUUGCUGGGGCCGGGGGAAACGGGUUGGCCUUGGCCGUCGCCGGCCGAAUGCAAUAUGGCAUCGCGACCCAAAGCUUUUGCUGCGGUAUUGCCGACUUGCAAGUUAAGUUUUUUUUUUUAAUGAACGAGCAAGCUCGGUUGAGAUCCUUGCCUUUUCAACCUUGAACAGCGGUAUUUGUUUUGAUAGAGUAUUUUUCAUUAAUUCAUAUUGAAACACAAGCAGAUGUACAAAAUACAACGAGCACACAGCCAGCCACUACACGACUAGGAUGCACACAACCAAUACACACACAAAGAUAUUCAUCACAAGAUCAAAACUAUGCCUAGGUCAAAUGGAAAAGAAAGAGAAAAGAAAAGGAGAAAGGACUUCGCCGAAGCAGUAGAAACAACCAUUGAUGUGGCAUGCCCUACUGCAAACAUGACUAGUACACAAGUCAUGGUGAGUACGUCGGUCAAUGACAAGCGGUUGCAGGCAACUUCGGCAGUCGUCGACAAAGGGGUGCGAACGGAGGAUAUUACGAAUGAGGCAGCGACAAUGCAUGUGGACGAGGCGGAUGUCGGAAAGAAAGUUGUUGAUGUGAGUUGUAAUUAUGUAAGGACAUGAGGAUUAUAUUGUAAAAGAACAAAAAUCUAAAUGAAGGGAGGUGAGAAGGGGAUCGGUAGAAGACCCCAGAUUUUUCCCCAAUGUCUCCUCUCCUUCAUGAACCCUAGUUCACAAAUCCAUGAGUGACAAGAUGGUAUCAGGGCGGGACGAAUCCUGUGUGGUUCUCCUGUGAUUUCGAUUGAUUUUGGUCGUCGGUGCGGUGCGGUGCUGUGUCGCUCCUAUUGUUGGAGGUGCUUCUGCUGCUGGCUUUGUUGUAGGUGUCGGGAAGCGACCUCGAUUCUGCCUGAAUCAAGUACAACCGGGGAGGCUCCUGCAGCUACCAGUUGAAUUGAAUAGAGCCUGGGCGUCUAGACUCCCUCCCCCGCUACAAGCUAAUUUUUUCUCUCCUGCCAUCCGGCGCCGUGAGCAGGUCUAGUUCGUCCCCAACUUGACUCUCGGACUCCUUGAGCUUCUGUGUUUUUUAUUGCUUUAGAAGAAGAAUCAGUGUUGCCUGGAGCUGCUUUGGUGGUCAGCUGGCCGGAUUAAAUAAUACUAUUUGCUAGUGUUGCAAUCCGAAGUAAUUGCCGUACUCUUUGGCACAUUGUUGAGCCGUACUAGUUGGUUCCUCUUUGUGCUGCACGUAUUUGAUAAGAAGAACCAAGUACUAGUGUUGGAAUAUAUUCUUGCUCACUGAACCAUGGGAGAUCCAAGUACAGAAAAACAGGGGAUUCUAGUGUUGAUAAGAUGUAUGAAAUAUUUAGCAAACUGCUUAAGCACCAGCAGGCUGCUGAGCCAGUUAAGCAUACACUUGAGCCAAAUCCAGUCAAACUAUCAGGACCUGGUGACUACAUCAGUUGGGCACGCCAUGCCAAAUUGAUUUUGAGCGCCAAUGAGUAUGAUUAUUUACUUGUUGGGAGUGAAGAAAGUUUGGAGAAAGGCGGUGCGGGCAGGAAACAAAUCAAUGAUAAAGUACUAGUAUGGCUGUUGGAAAGUAUGGAACCAAAAAUAAGAGAACAAGUGGAAGGCAUGGACACUGUUUGUGAGGUCCGGUCAUCUUUGAAGAAACAAUUUGCAGGGAAAACAAAUAAAAUGCAAGCCACCCAUAUCAUGCAUGAGUUAACUAAUUUGAAGCAGCGCUCAAGAUCUGUAACAGAGUAUCCAGGUGAAGUAAAAAAAUUAUAUAGAAACUUACAUUAUCAUCACCCUUUUGAACCUGUUGACAAGGAUGACUUGGCAAUUCAUCAUGUGUGGUUUGAGUCGUUUGUGAGCAAGCUCUUUCUUGAUGGCCUAGACCAGGAACUAAACCUCCGUCGUCAAUUGAUAUUUGGAAUGCCUGAGUGGCCUAGUCUUGAUGAUAUUAUUUCUAGCAUGAUUGAGGAGGAGACUCGUUUGGCACAACCGAAGGAGGAUGGUCAGGAGCGUGCAGAUGCUCGUGCUGCAUUAUCCAUACAACCUCGCCGUGCUACAAAUUCCUUUGGUAAGGUGGAUAAAAGCAAAUUGCUUUGUGACCAUUGCAAGAGAAAAGGACACACCAAGGAUGAGUGUUUUGAGUUGCAUGGUUAUCCACCUUGGUGGGAUAAAGGGAGAUCUCAGCUAGGGGGAGCUCGGGGUUCAAACAAAAGACAAGCUAAUUACAAUGCAUCUGCAAGGGAACUACAUGUGGUAGAUAUGCAAGCUCUUGAGGAUUUCAAAUCCAAGCUCAAAUUCUCUGAAGGCUCAUCUUCGUCCCAAGGUUCCUCCAAAGUUGAUUCUAGCUUUAAUGCCAUCACCCAAGGUAUGGAAUCCCACCAAGCCCAGUCAAAACCAUGGAUAAUUGAUACUGGAGCUACUAACCACAUGACAGGUGCCUCAAACUUGUUUACUUCAGGCACCUUCCAGUCCAGGCCAGCCAGGGUCCCGGCGACCCUCCUACUCCUACUCCUACCCCUCCCAACUGCCGCUGCCACUGUGCUCACCGAUUCUCAACGGAGGAAAUGGCCAUGCACAGCACACCACACCGCAGUGCACCUACCUAGGGUCGGUCCUCUACCUACCAACCCCCCCACUUUAACGCUAAUCUCCAACAGAAAAAAGGCCAANNNNNNNNNNNNNNNNNNNNNNNNNNNNNNNNNNNNNNNNNNNNNNNNNNNNNNNNNNNNNNNNNNNNNNNNNNNNNNNNNNNNNNNNNNNNNNNNNNNNCGAUUCUCAACGGAGGAAAUGGCCAUGCACAGCACACCACACCGCAGUGCACCUACCUAGGGUCGGUCCUCUACCUACCAACCCCCCCACUUUAACGCUAAUCUCCAACAGAAAAAAGGCCAAAGGCGACGGAGGCUGGACUCACUGGACUGGAAGCCACCCGGCCGGCCUCCUCCUCCUCCUCCUCAGUAGCCCUCACUCUCCCACACUGCUCACUGGUUGGUCGACGAUGAUAAAAACCUCCACACGAUAGGAAUCUCAAGCCAUCCUCCUCCUCCUCCUCCUCCCGGCAGUUUCCUCCACGGCUCCACCACCCCGAGCCCAAGCCAACCGAGCAAAGCGCACGCCAAAGCGAGGGGCUUUGCCUCGAAUCCUGGGCGAGCCGAGCCACGAGCCCCACCACCACUGCUUUCGCCUUUCCGUUCAUUCCAAGAACCGGCGUACGUACAUGGAGCCGGCGGCGGCGGACGGGGCCUCGGACGAGCCGGUGCACAAGGGGCGGACCAACUCCAUCCUGCUCCCCAUCCUCGCCGUGCUCCUCGCCUACCUGCUCUACCGCUACCUCCGCCCGCGCCUCCGCGGCCUGCGCCUCGACCGCCUCCCGUUCCGCGUCCCGGACUGCCUCCGCCGCCGCGGCAAUGCCACCCG